AUUGAACGCUGGCGGCAGGCCUAACACAUGCAAGUCGAGCGAGCGGCGGACGGGUGAGUAAUGUAUGGGGAUCUGCCUGAUGGAGGGGGCUCACUACUGGGAACGGUAGCUGAUAACGCAUACCAACGGAUGAACCCAUUUGGGAUUAGCUUGUAGGUAAGGUAACGGCUUACCUAGGCGACGAUCCCUAGCUGGUCUGAGAGGAUGAUCAGCCACACUGGGACUGAGACACGGCCCAGACUCCUACGGGAGGCAGCAGUGGGGAAUAUUGCACAAUGGGCGCAAGCCUGAUGCAGCCAUGCCGCGUGUAUGAAGAAGGCCUUCGGGUUGUAAAGUACUUUCAGUCGGGAGGCGUUACCGACAGAAGAAGCACCGGCUAACUCCGUGCCAGCCGCCGCGGUAAUUC
rnacentral:rRNA from 1 species